rnacentral:rRNA from 1 species
AUGGCCGCGCCCGCGCUCCUCACCCUCCUGCUCCUCCUCCUCACGCUCGCCCUGUCCUCCGCCUCCGGGGCUCCGGUCGGGGAGGAUUACGUCCGGCCGCCGGCCCGGCCCCGCGCGGGCCAGCGGAAGGCCCUCCUCGGCCUCUUCCCCUGGAGCAAGAAGAAGGCCUCCGCUUCCGCCUCCGAUCCCCAGCAGGUGCACAUUUCACUAUCUGGAGAGAAGCACAUGAGAAUUACAUGGGUCACAGAUGAUAACUCUGUCCCCUCAGUUGUGGACUAUGGAACUAAGUCCAACGCAUACACAUCCUCAUCUAAUGGAGAAAGCACGUCCUACAGCUACUUAAUGUACAGCUCAGGAAAGAUCCACCAUGUUGUUAUUGGACCUCUUGAAGACAACACUAUAUACUACUACCGAUGCGGAGGACGAGGUUCAGAAUUCCAACUUAAGACACCCCCCUCCCAGUUCCCGCUGUCAUUGGCUGUUGUAGGCGAUCUUGGGCAGACCAGUUGGACAACAUCAACAUUAAACCACAUUAAGCAAUGUGAAUAUGAUAUGCUCUUACUUCCCGGUGAUCUCUCUUAUGCUGAUUAUAUGCAACAUUUGUGGGAUUCCUUUGGUGAGUUGGUGGAGCCACUUGCUAGCACCCGGCCCUGGAUGGUGACACAAGGCAACCAUGAAAAGGAGAGGAUACCAUUUUUCAAGUCUGGAUUUCAAUCAUAUAAUGCGCGAUGGAAGAUGCCUUAUGAAGAGAGUGGUUCCACAUCAAAUUUGUACUACUCAUUUGAGGUUGCAGGGGUGCAUGUCAUAAUGCUAGGUUCUUAUACAGAUUAUGAUGAGAGUUCGGAUCAGUAUGCUUGGCUUAAGUCUGAUCUUGCCAACAUAGAUAGAAAGAGGACCCCAUGGCUCGUUGUUCUGUUGCACGUGCCAUGGUAUAACAGCAACUGGGCUCAUCAGGGUGAAGGUGACAGUAUGAUGAGUGCGAUGGAGCCUUUGCUACAUGCCGCUCAUGUGGAUAUUAUAAUCUCAGGUCACGUGCACGCUUAUGAACGCACGAUGAUCAUUUCGCUGUUUGUGCAGGAGCGAGUCUACAAAGGUGGGGUUAAUCCAUGUGGUGCUGUUCAUAUAACUAUUGGUGAUGGUGGAAACCGGGAAGGCUUGGCCCGCAGGUAUCAUAACCCGAAACCCCUCUGGUCGGUGUUCCGGGAAGCAAGCUUUGGGCAUGGUGAGCUGAAGAUCAUCAACUCCACGCACGCGCACUGGACUUGGCACAGGAACGACGACGAAGAGCCGGUGAGAACAGAUGACGUGUGGAUAACCUCGCUGGCUGGUUCGCAGUGCGUCCAGGACAGCAGCAGCCCUGAGUUCAGGAAGAUACUCAUGUCCCCUUGA